ensembl:lncRNA
CUGACCCUCCUAGAAGGUACACCAUACCACAGCACCCGACAUAGCUGACCACCCACCAUCCUGACCCUCCUAGAAGGUACAACAUACCACAGCAUCCACUAUACUGACCAUCCUGACCCUCCUAGAAGGUACAGCAUACCACAGCACCCCUAUACUGACCAUCCUGACCCUCCUAGAAGGUACAACAUACCACAGCACCCACUAUACUGACCAUCCUGACCCUCCUAGAAGGUACAACAUACCACAGCACCCACUAUAACUGACCACCCACCAUCCUGACCCUCCUAGAAGGUACACCAUAC